UGUCAACAAACUCAAAGUCGAGAAAACAAACCGAACUUUUAUUUCGCAUAAAGCAGAGAGUUUUUCAUGCAGCAAAUUUUGAAUUAUUGUAUCAUGUGGGUAAAGGUCAAGAGAUUCACUUUGCACUGUUCCAGUUUAAAUAGUGAUAUUAGAUAACAAACAAAAGUGUUCAUUUGCAAUGGUUUGUCGAAUGAAACGCCCAUGUUUUGUUAUGUUAAUUUGUUUGUGAAACUGAAAUCCGUCUCAAGAGAACACAUGACCCAAGCAGCAGAUUUCGCCGCCAUUUUUAAAGGUAAACUGACUGUGUCAACACGUAUGCUUUCGAUAUGCUACAACAAAUUCAAGCAUUUACCAAGUUUUAAGGACUCGACUUUCCAAAAACUGUGAUGGGGUGCCCUCUGCAGAUGAUGUCUCAAAGUAAAUACCUGUGACCUACUAUGUACAAGUGCUUGUCAUCAGCCCGAUUUCUACACAUCAUCAAUUUAGAUGUGUGAGGCUUCAACAGAGGUUAACUGCAGACACGCCAUUGUCAGAUAAAGUCUACCUCUCCAGAAGUAGAUGCACGAUGGGAGUACAGCCAAGCUUCAAGAUUCAACGAUGUCUUCUCCAUCAACAGGCUAGCUGCAGAUGCAACAUUGUCAGAUGGAGUCUGCCUCUCCAGAAGUAGAUGCUUGAUGGGAUUAUAACCCAGCUGCAAGAUUCCAAUGAUGUCUUCUAGAUGCAUGAUGUGACUGAGCCCAGCCUCAAGACUCAAGAUUCAACGAUGUCUUCUCCAUCAACAGGCUAGCUAUAGACGCACCAUUGUAAGAUGAAGUCUACCUCUCCAGAAGUAGAUGCAUGAUGGGAAUAUAGCCUAGCUUCAAGAUUCAAUGAUGUCUUCUCCAUCAACAGCGAGGGUUGUCAUCUCCACAGAGAUCUACUCAUCAACCAAGUAGAUGUCUGAGACCUGCAGUUGAUGAGCUUCAUAACAAUGCACAACGAGUUUGGAAAAUGAACUGCUCUCUCCUUCUGAAAAGAGUUAGUACUGCUGAUAUAAGAUCCACCAGUCGACAACGUGGAUGUCUUCACUAUACAUGACAACCUUGAAUGUUGAAUGUUUCUUCUGGCAAAAGAUGAGCGAGGGUUGUCAUCUCCGCAGAGAUCGACACAUCAACCAAGUAGACGUCUGAGACCUGCAGUCGAUGAACUUCCCAAUAAUCUUCGAUGAAUCAGAUGGUGUCUACCUGUCACAGAGAAGAUCCCCGAGACCUGCAACUGCGUAUAGUCAGCCCACUGUCUACAUAUCACCUGUUAAUAUGUGUGAGGGUUACGCAAGAGGAAGGUAAAAUCCCUGUGGUUGUUUUACACUAACGUCAAAGGGUGGUCUGUUUUUGCAGCACUCAUACCAACAGAAUAUCUCGUCACAUACCACAACAUUUUUGGGGAUGAAAUGCUGGCACCAGCCUAACCCGAAAUGAGAGGUCUGUCCCUACAGAUUGAUUACAGAUUUAAAAGAUAGGAAACAUGUUUUUGAUUAACAAAACCCCUUUAACUGUACAAAAUUACAAUUUUAAAUAAUUAAAAAGGUUUUUAGUACAAUCCAUUGAUAUUUCUUCUCAAGUUAUACCAUAAACUAGGAAUGAAAUAAUGUUGCAUCGUAUGAUGAUAAGCAAAAGAUCUGGAAUGUGCUGAACACCAUGCCUGACCUAAAACAAAUUUACAAAAUUUUGUUCAGGCAAAUCAGAUCCAAUUUGUUUAAGGUACACUUUGGCAAAAUUUAUUUGAAAAUUUAAAUGAUGUAUAAAUGGAGUCAUCAUUAAUGGAUCACCAUAUUUUGAUGACAAGGGCAAAUUAAACGCCCCUAGUUAGGGCUAGUUCAUUUAAUAAUAAUAAAUAAUAAUAACAAAUAUAAUAAUAGUGGAAAUUUAUAAUGUGCCAUGUCUGUCUACAAGACACUCCUGGCGCAGGAGAGAUGCAGAAGCAAAAUAAGUUUUAGAUUUCCUUUUUUGUGUUCUGUUACAUCUAAGGACAUCUCAAUGUUUAAAUUUCACAGCAUGAAAAAGCGUGUAUCCUACAUUGUGUAGCAAAUAUCUUUCAUUACAAUCUUGAAAGCUUCAGAUUUGAGAGAAAAACUAAUAGUAUUGAAACACCAAGGUAUUCAAGUCAUUCUAUUAAAUGAAGGAAUGAUAAAUGAGAAACAGCUUGUUGAUUUCAUUUGUAAAAUUGUAGACAUGUUAAUUAAUGAUGUCAGACAUAGAUGUAAUCUAACAUUCAAGUCAAUAUUCUUGUAAAAAGUAAGUGUACCAUUUGCAAGCAAGCACACAAUGUGUGUGUUUUGAACUCACAAAGUUGGAAGAAAUGUACUGUUUCUUGGGGUGGAAUACUUCUCGAGAGAGUGGCUUUAAGAUUUCAGAAAGAUAGUGGGUCUGGUAUAGACUUUUGUUACCAGGAGUAAAAAACCUUAUCUUAAAAUUAGAUUUCUUGCAAGGUACACUUAUUUUACUCCACAAACUUAAAGCUUCACAAAACUUUAAUGUAAAUAAAUAACUCAAUAAUUAUAAGUAGCCAUAUUCUUUGCAUUUAAUGUUGUAGACUUAAAGGCACUGGAAAUCUAUGGUAAUUACUCAUUAUAAUUGUUAGCAUAAAAACUUACUUGGUAACAAGCA